AAACACCAAAAAAUGCCCAAAACACAAUUAAUUGGGAUCUGAUUGAUCCCUUUCUUCUUCUUUGGCCAUUACCAAAAUGAUGGCCGCUCUUCAUAAUCUUCAUAAUCUCCAUAUCUUCUUAUGGAAGCAGCUUCCAUAAUCUUCAUGUGAUUCAACAUGGACUCCGAUGGCAGCCUCAUUUAGCUCGAACUUGCCGCCUUGCUUUGGUCGCUGGACUAGCUCCACGUCCUCGUCGCCAACGAAAACGACAUCGUCGAGUUCGAAGAGCUAGUCAUCGCCCUCUUGCCCGACAUGAACGAGGAGAUACUCAUCAUCUAGGAGUAGCUCGUGGAGGUCGCUGUGUGGGUCGGACUCGCGCUUUCAAAAUAGCACGCUCGCUAUUUUGCGAACUGCAUUUCAUCCUCACUGAAUUGGACGAGCGAGUUCGGAGUUUUUUUUGACUUAUGGACUAUACAAUCC
rnacentral:lncRNA from 1 species